GUUCUAGUCAUCCCGUAAGGUGUGGUAAGGCAUCUGACCGGUAACCAGGAGACCCGGGUUCAAAUCCCGGCUGGGACA